rnacentral:tRNA from 1 species
GGGGGUAUCGUCCAGUGGUAGUACCGCUGGCUUUUAACCAGCAGACCGGGGUUCGAUUCCCCGUGCCCCCACCA